UACAGAGGGUGCAAGCGUUGUUCGGAAUUAUUGGGCGUAAAGGGCGCGUAGGCGGUGCGGUAAGUCUGUAGUGAAAUCUCUGGGCUCAACUCAGAGUCUGCUGCAGAAACUGCCGUGCUUGAGUGUGGGAGAGGUGAGUGGAAUUCCCGGUGUAGCGGUGAAAUGCGUAGAUAUCAGGAGGAACACCGGUGGUGUAGACGGCUCACUGGACCGUAACUGACGCUGAGACACGAAAGCGUGGGUAGCAAACAGG
rnacentral:rRNA from 1 species